rnacentral:rRNA from 1 species
CCUACGGGUGGCUGCAGUGGGGAAUAUUGGACAAUGGGCGAAAGCCUGAUCCAGCCAUGCCGCGUGUGUGAAGAAGGCCUUCGGGUUGUAAAGCACUUUCAGUGGGGAAGAAAGCCUUGGGGCUAAUACCCUCGAGGAAGGACAUCACCCACAGAAGAAGCACCGGCUAACUCCGUGCCAGCAGCCGCGGUAAUACGGAGGGUGCGAGCGUUAAUCGGAAUUACUGGGCGUAAAGCGCGCGUAGGCGGUCUGAUAAGCCGGUUGUGAAAGCCCCGGGCUCAACCUGGGAACGGCAUCCGGAACUGUCAGGCUAGAGUGCAGGAGAGGAAGGUAGAAUUCCCGGUGUAGCGGUGAAAUGCGUAGAGAUCGGGAGGAAUACCAGUGGCGAAGGCGGUCUUCUGGACUGACACUGACGCUGAGGUGCGAAAGCGUGGGUAGCAAACAGGAUUAGAUACCCUGGUAGUC